AUUGAACGCUGGCGGCAUGCCUUACACAUGCAAGUCGAACGGCAGCACGGGUGUUUGCACCUGGUGGCGAGUGGCGCACGGGUGAGAAAUAUAUCGGAACAUGUCCUGAAGUGGGGGUUAGCUCGGCGAAAGCCGGAUUAUUACCGCAUACGAUCUACGGAUGAAACGGGGGGAGCAAGUGGCUUCGGGUUAUGGGGUUGGCCGAUGGCUGCUUCGCUAGUGGGUGGGGUAAAGGGCUACCAGGGCGAAGAUCAGUAGCUGGUCUGAGAGGAGGACCAGCCACACUGGGACGGAGACACGGCCCAGACUCCUACGGGAGGGAGCAGUGGGGAAUUUUAGACAAUGGGCGAAAGCCUGAUCCAGCAAGGCCGCGUGUGUGAAGAAGGCCUUCGGGUUGUAAAGCACUUUUGUCCGGAAAGAAAUCCUUGGCCCUAAUACGGUCGGGGGAUGACGGUACCGGAAGAAGAAGCACCGGCUAACUACGUG
rnacentral:rRNA from 1 species